GGGGCUGUCCAGGGGCUCAGGGACCAUUCCAAGGGGGGCCCAUCCCAGGGCUCAGGGUUCAUUGAGCGGUUCAGGGGGGCUGUUCCAGGGGCUCAGUGGGGGCUGUUCCAGGGGCUCAGGGCCCGUCCCAGGGCUCAGGGGCCAUUCAGGGGCUCAGUGGGGGCUGUUCCAGGGGCUCAGGGGCUGUCCCAGGGUUCAGGAGCAGCUCUGAGCCCCCGUCCCUGCAGGUGGUGCCGGGCUACGGGCACGCGGUGCUGCGGAAGACGGACCCGCGCUACACCUGCCAGCGGGAGUUCGCCCUCAAGCACCUGCCCAAGGACCCCCUGUUCAAGCUGGUGGCCCAGCUCUACAAGAUUGUCCCCAACGUGCUGCUGGAGCAGGGCAAGGCCAAGAACCCCUGGCCCAACGUGGAUGCCCACAGCGGGGUCCUGCUGCAGGUGAGCCCAGGCUCCUUCCGUCCCUGUUGCUGUUAGUCUGUCCUUGUCACUGGAUCCCUUUGCAUGUCCACAUCCCUCUCCCUGUUCUGUCCUUCCUCUUGUCCAUGUGUCCUUCUCCCUGUCUGUCCCUUGCCCUGUGUGUCCCUCUCUCUGUGUUUCUGUGUUCUCCAUUCUGUGUGUCCCUCUCCCUGUCUGUCCCUCUCCCUGUCUGUGUGUCCCUCUCCCUGUGUGUCCCUCUCUGUUUUCCUCCCUGUCUGUCCCUCUCCCUGUCUGUCUCUCUAUGUUCUCCCUGUCUGUCCGUCUCCCUGUCUGUCUGUCCCUUUUCCUGUCCCACCCUCCCCCUGUUGCUCUCUCCCUCUCCUUGUCCAUUUGUCCCUGUCCCACCUGUCCCUUUGUCCCUGUCCCACCUGUCCCUCUCUCUGUCCCACCUGUCCCUCUGUCUGUCCCCUGGGGGUCUCCUGUGUGCCCCGUGCCCACUCUGAGCCCCCUCCCCUGCUCUGUCCCCAGUACUACGGCAUGAAGGAGAUGAAUUACUACACGGUGCUCUUCGGUGUGUCCCGGGCUCUGGGCGUCCUCUCUCAGCUCAUCUGGAGCCGAGCUC
rnacentral:lncRNA from 1 species